CCUACGGGAGGCAGCAGUGAGGAAUAUUGCUCAAUGGGCGCUACCCUGAAGCAGCAACGCCGCGUGAAGGAUGAAGGUUUUCUGGUUGGAAACUCCUUUUUUUAUAGGAGUUAAGUGCGGUAUCUAACGAAUAAUCACCGUCUAACACCGUGCCAGCAGCCGCGGUAAUACGGAGGGUGCCAGCGUUACUCGGAUUUACUGGGCGUAAAGGGCGCGUAGGCGGGAUAGAAAGUCAGAUGUGAAAUUCUAUGGCUCAACCUUAGAACUGCAGUUGAAACUGUCAUUCUAGAGUAUGGGAGAGGUAGGCGGAAUUCGUGGUGUAGGGGUAAAAUGCUUAGAGAUCACGAAGAAUACUGAUUGCGAAGGCAACCUACUAGA
rnacentral:rRNA from 1 species